AUUGAACGCUAGCGGGAUGCUUUACACAUGCAAGUCGAACGGCAGCGCGGACUUCGGUCUGGCGGCGAGUGGCGAACGGGUGAGUAAUGUAUCGGAACGUGCCCAGUAGCGGGGGAUAACUACGCGAAAGCGUAGCUAAUACCGCAUACGCCCUACGGGGGAAAGCAGGGGAUCGUAAGACCUUGCACUAUUGGAGCGGCCGAUAUCGGAUUAGCUAGUUGGUGAGGUAACGGCUCACCAAGGCGACGAUCCGUAGCUGGUUUGAGAGGACGACCAGCCACACUGGGACUGAGACACGGCCCAGACUCCUACGGGAGGCAGCAGUGGGGAAUUUUGGACAAUGGGGGCAACCCUGAUCCAGCGAUCCCGCGUGUGCGAUGAAGGCCUUCGGGUUGUAAAGCACUUUUGGCAGGAAAGAAACGUCGCGGGCUAAUACCCCGUGGAACUGACGGUACCUGCAGAAUAAGCACCGGCUAACUACGUG
rnacentral:rRNA from 1 species